rnacentral:rRNA from 1 species
GACGAACGCUGGCGGCGUGCUUAACACAUGCAAGUCGAACGGAAAGGCCCUGCUUUUGUGGGGUGCUCGAGUGGCGAACGGGUGAGUAACACGUGAGUAACCUGCCCUUGACUUUGGGAUAACUUCAGGAAACUGGGGCUAAUACCGGAUAGGAGCUCCUGCUGCAUGGUGGGGGUUGGAAAGUUUCGGCGGUUGGGGAUGGACUCGCGGCUUAUCAGCUUGUUGGUGGGGUAGUGGCUUACCAAGGCUUUGACGGGUAGCCGGCCUGAGAGGGUGACCGGCCACCUUGGGACUGAGAUACGGCCCAGACUCCUACGGGCGGCAGCAGUGGGGAAUAUUGCACAAUGGGCGGAAGCCUGAUGCAGCAACGCCGCGUGCGGGAUGACGGCCUUCGGGUUGUAAACCGCUUUCGCCUGUAACGAAGCGUGAGUGACGGUAAUGAGUAAAGAAGCACCGGCUAACUACGUG